GAUGACGCUAGUACAGGCUUAACACAGCAGUAGGGGGAACGGCAUUUAGUGCUUGCACCGAAUGGACGUCGACCGGCGCACGGGUGAGUAACGCGUAUCCAACCUUCCCACAACUAAGGGAUAACCUCCGAAAGCAGAUAAUACCUUAUAUAAUCCUUUAUGGCAUCAGAUAAGGAUAAAAGAUUUAUCGGUUAUGGAUGGGGAUGCGUCUGAUUAGCUUGUUGGCGGGGUAACGGCCCACCAAGCACGAUCAGUAGGGGUUCUGAGAGGAAGGUCCCCCACAUUGGAACUGAGACACGGUCCAACUCCUACGGGAGGCAGCAGUGAGGAAUAUUGGUCAAUGGACGAAGUCUGAACCAGCCAAGUAGCGUGCAGGAUGACGGCCCUAUGGGUUGUAAACUGCUUUUGUAUGGGGAUAAAGUCAAUCACGUGU
rnacentral:rRNA from 1 species